UCUGCAAAUUCAGGGUUGACAGGU
rnacentral:siRNA from 1 species